GCACUGCUGAGGAGUCCAAAACAGGAGGAACAUCUGUCCAGUGC
rnacentral:hammerhead_ribozyme from 1 species